UGGUAAAAAGAGGAAUCGAACCCCUAUAAGUAGGACUACAGCCCACCACUUAAACACUCAGCCAUUUUACC
rnacentral:tRNA from 1 species